CUAAAUCGCUGAAGUAAAUACGCGGGGGAACCAAUUUUGGGGUGUAUGAUAUACAUCCUUGGGGUGAAUCCUUUCUAUAGGUAGGGCUACUUCGAGGCCCGAAUCCGACAGCUAACCUCGUAAGCGUUAUAGGAGAAGA
rnacentral:sRNA from 1 species